GCUCUUUCAAGAUUAUGUGGUAGGUGGUGCAUGGCCGUUCUUAGUUCGUGAAGUGAUUCGUUCGCCCAAUCGCAUUUCCAAACAACUAACAACUCAGAAUGCUGGGCAAUAGGACGUUUAAAGUGGCUCCUUACACCUUACAAAGGAAUGGCUGAUGAGAAACAACUCGAUCCGCUCAGCGUUCUAUUGGAAUGCAACGGACGUGAUUGCAAGCUUUUGUUUUGAGUUGCGGUUUUACUGAAAGACUCUACAAUCCGCAAACUUCAAUGAUCUGAAGUAGAAAACCUACAUGCUACAGUGAGAUAUUGUGGAUAAACUUAAGCGACCGCUCCAACAUUGUG
rnacentral:rRNA from 1 species